UCUGUCUCACAGCUGGCCAAGGCUUACGGGAUGGAUUUCUUUGAGACAAGUGCCUUCACCAACCAAAAUAUAUCCGAGACUUUCACACGAUUGGCUGAACAGGUGCUGGCAGCUAAUAAAAAGGACCUGGAUCUUCUCCGGAUGUCUGUCAAUGACGAGAUUAAUCUUGCCGCUCUGGAGGAAGAGGAAGGACUCUGUGACAGCGAGGCGGCCGACCGAGGAAAAGGCUGCUGGUGUUAGAGAGACAAUUCAGAUCUGAUCGUCUGUUACCACUGGACACUUCGCACACUAGGCAAAACGUUUCUUUUUGUCGUUAGUUGAAAUAAAGUGAAGCAAUUUUUA